rnacentral:lncRNA from 1 species
AUGGACUGGUUGGAUCUCCUUGCAGUCCAAGGGACUCUCAGGAGUCUUCUCCAACACCGCAGUUCAAAUGCAUCAAUACUUCAGCGCUCAGCCUUCUUCACAGUUCAACUCUCACAUCCAUACAUGACCACUGGAAAAACCGUAGCCUUGACUAGAUGGACCUUUGUUGGCAAAGUAAUGUCUCUGCUUUUCAAUAUGCUAUCUAGGUUGGUCAUAACUUUCCUUCCAAGGAGUAAGCGUCUUUUAAUUUCAUGGCUGCAGUCACCAUCUGCAGUGAUUUUGGAGCCCCAAAAAAAUAAAGUCUGACACUGUUUCCACUGUUUCCCCAUCUAUUUCCCAUGAAGUGAUGGGACCAGAUGCCAUGAUCUUCGUUUUCUGAAUGUUGAGCUUUAAGCCAACUUUUUCACUCUCCUCUUUCACUUUCAUCAAGAGGUUUUUUAGUUCCUCUUCACUUUCUGCCAUAAGGGUGGUGUCAUCUGCAUAUGUGAGGUUAUUGAUAUUUCUCCCGGCAGUCUAGAUUCCAGCUUGUGUUUCUUCAGUCCAGCGUUUCUCAUGAUGUACUCUGUAUAAGUUAAAUAAGCAGGGUGACAAUAUACAGCCUUGACGUACUCCUUUUCCUAUUUGGAACCUGUCUGUUGUUCCAUGUCCAGUUCUAACUGUUGCUUCCUGACCUGCAUACAGAUUUCUCAAGAGGCAGGUCAGGUGGUCUGGGAUUCCCAUCUCUCUCAGAAUUUUCCACAGUUUUUGUGAUCCACACCAACAUCCACUGGAUCAUGGAAAAAGCAAGAGAGUUCCAGAAAAACAUCUAUUUCUGCCUCUCUUAAGCUUCCUGCAUAAGCAGAGGGUUGUUUACCACUAGCGCCACCUAGGAAACCCUUCUUGUUAUGCUUGUUAUGAAGGUUUAAAUUUGUGCCUUCUC